UGCGCUGAGUCUCCGAACGGAGAGCGGGGGACCCGACGCGGAGGACCGGUUCGUACGCGAACCGCGAUUUCUGCGGCCGAGUAAUCUUGGGGUGAAUUUUGCUGGCAACCGAAGCAUCCGUCCAGGCCGGACGGUCCGUCGGAUUGCGGGCGGAUAGGGCCGCUCUCUUGGCCCGAACCCGACAGCUAACCUCGCAAGCGUAUGAGAGAGA
rnacentral:sRNA from 1 species